rnacentral:rRNA from 1 species
UACGGGGGUGGCGAGCGUUACUCGGAUUUAUUGGGUGUAAAGGACAGGUAGGCGUUCCACUAAGUUAGAAGUGAAAGCCUAAGGCUUAACCUUAGAACUGCUUCUAAAACUAGCGGAAUUGAGGCUGGGAGAGGAGAGCGGAAUUCCCGGUGUAAGGGUGAAAUCUGUAGAUAUCGGGAGGAACACCAGUGGCGAAAGCGGCUCUCUAGUCUAGCUCUGACGCUAAGCUGUGAAAGCUCGGGGAGCAAAC